UUACGGCCAUAUCACGUUGAAACACAGGUUCCCGUACGAUCAGCGAAGUUAAGCAACGUCUAGCCCGGUCAAUACGAAGAUGGGUGACCGUUUGGGGGAUACAAAGUGCUGUAAG